rnacentral:rRNA from 1 species
AGUCCCGCAACGAGUGCAACCCUUGUCCUAUGUUGCCAGCGCGUAAUGGCGGGGACUCGUGGGAGACUGCCGGCGACAAGUCGGAGGAAGGUGGGGACGACGUCAAGUCAUCAUGCCCCUUAUGCCCAGGGCUGCAAACAUGCUACAAUGGCCGGUACAAAGGGCUGCGAAACCGUGAGGUCAAGCGAAUCCCAUAAAGCCGGUCUCAGUUCGGAUUGGAGUCUGCAACUCGACUCCAUGAAGCCGGAGUCGCUAGUAAUCCCGGAUCAGCAACGCCGGGGUGAAUA